rnacentral:rRNA from 1 species
CCUACGGGUGGCUGCAGUGAGGAAUAUUGGUCAAUGGGCGGAAGCCUGAACCAGCCAAGUAGCGUGCGGGAUGAAGGCCCUACGGGUCGUAACCCGCUUUUGCACGGGGAUAACACCCUCCACUUGUGGAGGUCUGCAGGUACCGUGCGGAUAAGGGCCGGCUAAAUCCGGGCCAGCAGCCGCGGUAAUCCGGACGGCUCGAGCGUGUUCCGGAUUCUUUUGGCGUAAAGAGCGCGUAGGCGGGAUAGCAAGUCAGAUGUGAAAUCCUAUGGCGUAACCAUAGAACGGCAUUUGCAACUGGUAGUCUAGAGUAUGGGAGAGGAAGGUGGAAGUCGUGGUGUAGGGGUAAAA